rnacentral:misc_RNA from 1 species
CUGGGGAUCUUUUGGCUUAAUUUACAAGGCAACUUAACAUUGUCUUUGACUGGCCACCAGAAAAGUGUGAUCAUGAUUUUGAUUUUGUUCGUGCUAGAACUUUGUUUGAGCAAUUUCUAGAUAGGAUAACAUGUAUCAGUUCCAUGAGUGCCCAAAGCAGCUUGACCACUACUGUUGCACAGGCACCCUGCGCAUGUGCAUGCUUGCCAGUCUCCUAAAUAUGAAAAAUCAGAAAAGAUGUAUUGUUACAAGAAACCAUUUUUUUCUUAGUAAUGACUAAUGGUUAUGAGUGGGACUUGGGAUUUGGCUUGUUUGCACAGAACUGGUUUUUAGUUUUCUCACUGAAAAUUUUACUUCAUUCAUUAAUAGGAUGUAGGCACUGAAGUUUGUUUUAUGAGGUAUUUUCACUUAUCAACUAGUGCAUUUUAUGACAAGGUUAAAUUUAAAGUGGCUGCACCUACUUCCUCCACAGAAGAAUGACAACUGAAAGGACAUAAAUUUGGGAGUUUUUGAAAUGUAUGGACAUAAAUUUGGGAGUUUUUGUAAUGUAUGGAUUCUCUCUUAGUGUACAUUAGUAUGAAACUCUACCUUCUAUGUACAUGAUAAAAUAACUCAGGAUUGUG